rnacentral:lncRNA from 1 species
UGAACCAGUAAGGAAAACUCUUCAGAGGGAAUUUAUUUCUUCCUAGGUAUGGUGAAUACAUUUACAUCUCUAUCAAUGAAUGAAAUGUCAUGGGAUAAUAGAUUUAGAUCUGGAAGGCAUUUCUAGAAGUUAUCUAGAAGAGCAAUCAAGUGAGCAGCUUUCAUCCUGAACCUGUCAUAUGCCUAAACUAGAGAUAACUUGAUGGAUGACAAAUGGAAAUGGCUAAUCUCUCAAGGGUUGGAGCAGAGGUGACCCAGCCUAGGCAGUCCUGGAUCCUGCCUACCCCUCCCCAAAACUAGGCAGAUGGUGAUGUAUAAUCCUCCUAUUCUCUGCAAAGGUGCCCAGAUCUUAGACUGUAACUAGCCAUGCAACCCAUGAAAUGUGUCUAUAUAUAUUUAGACAGUACCUACCCACAUAUACAUGUAUAAAUAUCUUACAUCUAAAAAAAAGCCUUUGUUAAAAUUUCAUACAUCACAGCUAAUUUACUAAUGACCAACUCUUGCAUUUCUUUUUAAAAGAACACAGUACAGAGCAAGCUCUGCAAAAAUGUGAACAAAAAACUAUUUUCCUGACUAGAAUCAUAAAAUCAUAGAACAUCAGAGCUAGGAGAGGCCUUGAAGAUUAUCUAAUGUCACUUUUUCACUUCAUAGAUUAGCAAACUUCUGGAGAAAGCAAAGUGACUUCUAGCUCUAUAAAAUAACAAAGUAGGGAGUGGUCACCAAAACUAGGUCCUGACUUCCAAUCCAGUAUUCUUUCCAUGCACAUAGCCAUGUUCUGAAGGUUAUGAAACACCAUUUAAUCACACCGUUUGUAAUUCUACUUUAAAGAGCAACUUUUAAUUCUUUUCCCUUGACUUAAAGGGCUUUUGUACCAUCCAAGGCAGCCAUUUCAGCCUGAUUUACAGUCUAGCCUGGUUCUUCCACUCAUGGGAUUUUAAGGAAUAUGUCGAAUUAAAUGGCCUUAAAUGCCCUGCUUAUAACUUACCUUAGAGAUAGAUAAGUAGAACAAUAGAGAGAGAUAAAUGAUAGAUAAUACACAAUAAUAGCUUAGAUAAAUAAUGGAUAGAUAAAUGAUAGAGAUCAAUAGAUUGAUAGAAAAAUGAUGGAUAGAUGAAAAGAGAGAUAGAUGAUAAAAUAUUUACUAGAGCUUUCUAAGUGCCAGUCACUACA